AGUUUGUAGCGGACAACAUGGCGGCCUUCAUGCUGGGCUCGCUGCUGCGGACGUUCAAGCAGGUCAGGCCUCUACUUUUAUCCACACCGCUACCCCUCACCGCUGAAUCUCAUAACCCACGGGUCCCCCACGGCUCUGCCACCUGUAGUGCUCGAUGGUUCCUUCAUCAGCUUCAGGCCAAGUUCGAAGUCACUAUGUAGACUGGAGAAUGUGGCGCGAUGUGAAGAGACGAAAAAUGGCCUAUGAAUACGCAGAUGAGAGGCUACGUAUUAAUUCACUCAGGAAGAAUACCAUUUUGCCAAAAAUUCUUCAGGAUGUGGCUGAUGAAGAAAUUGCUGCCCUCCCCCGGGAUAGCUGUCCUGUUAGAAUCAGAAAUCGGUGUGUUAUGACGUCCCGUCCGCGUGGUGUGAAGCGGCGCUGGAGGCUUAGUCGUAUAGUCUUCCGUCACUUAGCUGACCAUGGGCAACUUUCUGGGAUCCAGCGAGCGACAUGGUAAAUGAGCUCCAGAACCUAUUGAGCUUGCAGGGAAGCCAAGCUUGCAGUUCCAGCAAGCAAAGAUUUUUUUUAAUAGACCAAACCCUAAUCUCUACAGGGGCCCAGUACAGUUGUUUGGCCUACCUGAUGCUAUCUCUAAACUACUUUUAAAAUGAAGACAUUUGGGUGUUUCAUGUCAGUGAAUUAUCUUUUCUCUUGGACUUAACAAACAUACUGUUCCCAUACAUAGUACAAAGAGUAGCAUAAUAAAUAUUUUCUGUGAAUGUUUUUUAUACCCUCCUUUUAAGUUUAAUCUUUUAGUAACAUAUAGGGGUUUUUGUAUUAAGAGCAUUAUUUCAUAAAAUGCUAUCUUAUACAUAAUCCAACUAAUUGACAUGUAGCUCAUGUAUGGCAGUUUGUAAUCCUGGACUAGCUUUGCUGACCUGCAGAGCUCCCCUUAACUAUUAUUGUUAGAUAAACAGAUUGGAUAGCAAGGCUGCUGUUCUGGAUUAUCUAAUGCUCCACUUCUUCUUGUGAUGGCUGAACAAAAGAACCACUAAGUGUUUUCUUGUCCAUCCUUAAGGGACUUUAAAACAAAUUAUGCCUCUUUAAGUCCUUGAAAGUCUCCAUCUAAAGAGGAAAAGUUUGUUGGAACAGUAUAUAUUCCCUAUUUUUAUGUUUAUUUAAUCCAUAACAGAAAUGAGUAAGGGUAGCACAAAGUUCUCAUUCAGUAACUCAACAGUGUGAUCAUCAGCCCAGUGAUAAAAAUAUACAUACUGAAUGGAAGUACCUACUUAACAUCAGGAAAAUAUUCCUGGAGAACUUAAUAAAUCAGGAGGUGAGGGGUGAGAUUUUUUUCUGCACACAGAGGGAACAAAAGCACAAAGAAGCAAAGGCACUCUGUAGCAUCAGAGAACCACAGUCACUUCAGUAGAUCAGAAAUAUGAAGCACAAGACAAGGCCCGUAUUGUGGAGGAUCUCACAAAUCAUGUGAAGGAAUUAAGACUGACAUACCAGGUAUUACAGAGUUUUAAGCACAGGAAUGACAUCAUCAGUUUGUAAUACAGGUAAGUGACAGCUGUGUGGCAGAUGGCCAUGAGAGGAAAAAGCUACAGGCAAGACAACCAGUUAGGAGGAUGUCUUAGUUGUUGAGGAAGAUGAAGGCCUGAACUAACAUUGUGGUAUUAGUAGAGGAGAGAGGACAGAUUUUUAAAGUUUUAGGAAAGAAAAUUGGGCAAGACUUACAAGACUGAUUAUAUCUAAGAGGUAAAGAUGGUUCUCUGGGUUCCUGAUAAAAGUGUCUAGAUAGAUGGUAGAGGGCAAUUCCAAGAGGGCAACUCCAAGAUAGAAAAUUUGGAAAAAGAACAAAUUUAGGGGAAACAGAAGAUAAGCGAGUUCAGGUUCCAGUCAUGCGGUGUUGGAGAUGCCUGUGUCAUCUGAUGAAGACUAGUACGCAGCUGGAUAGCAGAGUCCGAAACUCAGGUGGAGGUGAAGUUAUGAGGGAAUUAUCACAAUCUAGUUUGGAUUCAUAUUUCUUAAAUAUGUAUGACAACUUACCAACUGGAAUGUUCUAGCUAAUAUCUCAACUUAGAAUCCAUCUCACUACCAAUGGGCAAACACUUGUGUUCUAAAGUUACUUGCAAGUAGUUUAUACUGCCAACUUGAUAUAUAUACAUGCUAUAGUUUGAACAUUUUGUGUACUUCCAAAAUUCACAUUAAAAUCUAAUCCACAA